rnacentral:tRNA from 1 species
GGAUACAUAGCUCAGUCGUAGAGCACGUGCUUAGCAUGCAUGAAGUCCUGAGUUCAAUCCCCAGUAUCUCCA